CAGCAAUGCAGAAAGUACAGAUUGGAUGGGUUCAAUAGAUUGCUUUAGCUGAAGCAAGCCUUCCCAUUGUACAUAUCUCAUUGUCU
ensembl:miRNA